rnacentral:SRP_RNA from 1 species
GAAUGGACUAGGUCGGGCAGCCAGGCCCUGCCCACUUCCCGCAAUUUCGGCCUUCAGCGGGGACCGAAACCGGGGGCGUCCGGUCAGACCGGCGCGGGCCCCGGGAGCCAACUUAGAAGCCUCGUCCCUCGGGGACAGCGGACCGCGGAAACCGACCGCAGGGUCGGUUGUACGCGGUUUACCGGUGAUACCCCGCCAGGCGCGGAAGCGAGCAACGGACCGCCGGACGUGCGUCGCUCGAGGGAUCGCGGGGUGGAGGAGGCAACCGGGACUACCCGUGCCGGAACGCCGGGCAAACCCGUCGUCCGCCA